rnacentral:rRNA from 1 species
GUACACUCCUACGGGAGGCAGCAGUGGGGAAUAUUGGACAAUGGGCGCAAGCCUGAUCCAGCCAUGCCGCGUGAGUGAUGAAGGCCCUAGGGUUGUAAAGCUCUUUCACCGGUGAAGAUAAUGACGGUAACCGGAGAAGAAGCCCCGGCUAACUUCGUGCCAGCAGCCGCGGUAAUACGAAGGGGGCUAGCGUUGUUCGGAUUUACUGGGCGUAAAGCGCACGUAGGCGGACUAUUAAGUCAGGGGUGAAAUCCCGGGGCUCAACCCCGGAACUGCCUUUGAUACUGGUAGUCUUGAGUUCGAGAGAGGUGAGUGGAAUUCCGAGUGUAGAGGUGAAAUUCGUAGAUAUUCGGAGGAACACCAGUGGCGAAGGCGGCUCACUGGCUCGAUACUGACGCUGAGGUGCGAAAGCGUGGGGAGCAAACAGGAUUAGAAACCCGGGUAGUCCCAUGAU